rnacentral:rRNA from 1 species
UAGGAGAUAGAAACUUUACUAAGGUGCUAUAGAGAGAGUACCGUAAGGGAAAGAUGAAAGAUGUGUCAACAGUAUAAAAAAGCAAAGAUUAGCCCUUGUACCUUUUGCAUAAUGAACUAGCCAGAACAAAUUUAGCAAAGAGAAUUUUAGUUAAAUACCCCGAAACCAGACAAGCUAAUUACAAACAGUUGACAGAGCAAAUUCAUCUAUGCUGCAAAAUAGUGAAGUGACUUAUAAGUAGAGGGACAAGUCAACUGAGCCUGGUGAUAGCUGGUUGUCCAGUAUAGGAUCUCAGUUCAACUUUAAAUUCUACCUAAAGAAAGCUCAAUCUUCAUGUAGAUUUAAAUGUUAAUCUAAGGGGGUACAGCUCCUUAGAACUAGAAAAAAACCUUAUUUAGAGAGUAAAAAUAUAUAUACCCAUAGCUGGCCUAAAAGCAGCCACUAAUUAAGAAAGUGUUAAAGCUCAACAAUCAAAUAACUUCCUUAACACCACUAUUUAUAAAUAACUCCUAAACCUAAACUGGACCAACCUAUUUAUGUUUAGAUGAGAUAUUGCUAGCAUGAGUAACAAGAAAUAAUUCUCCCUAUACAAGCCUGUAUCAUGUCAGAUGCCCACUGAUAGUUAAGAAUCUGAUAAGAUUUAAACUCAAGACACUUAUAACACAAAUUGUUGACCCAACACCAGAGUGCAUAAACUUAAGGGAAAGAUUAAAAAGAGUAAAAGGAACUUGGCAAACACAAACCCUGCCUGCUUAUCAAAAGUAUCACCUCUAGCAUAAAAAGUAUUAGAGGCACUGCCUGCCCAGUGACACAAGUUAAAUGGUUGCAGUAUCCUGGCCAUGCAAAGAUAGCAUAAUCAUUUGUUCCUUAAAUUGGGACUUGUAUGAAUGGCCACACGAGAGUUUAACUGUCUCUUACUCUCAAUCAGUGAAAUUGACUUUCCCGUGAAGAGGUGGGAAUAAAAAAAUAAGACAAGAAGACCCUAUGGAGCUUUAAUUAAUUAACUCACAUAUAAUUACACUUAACCUACGUGGGGAUAAAAAGCAUAUUCUGAGUUAAUAAUUUUGGUUGGGGUGACCUCGGAGAACAAAAAAUCCUCCGAAAUGUACAAGCCAAGACAUAACAAGUAGAAGCAACCUGUUGAACUAAUUGAUCCAAUAAGUUGAUCAAUGGAACCAAUUACACUAGGGAUAGCAGUGCAAUCCUAUUCUAGAGUCCAUAUUGACAAUAGGGUUUAUGACCUCGAUGUUGGAUCAGGACAUCCCAAUGGUGUAACCGCUAUUAAUGGUUUGUUUGUUCAACGAUUGAAGUCCUACGUGAUCUGACUUCAGACUGAAGUAAUCCAGGUCGGUUUCUAUCUAUUAGAUAUUCCUCCCAGCAUGAAAGGACAAGAGGAACGAGGCCAAUUUAUUAUGCAUGCCUUAAUAGAUGAAUUAAUCUUAAUCUAGUGAGUUAUCAAGAACCCUGCCCAAGUGCAAGGCGUGUUAAGGUGGCAGAACCCGGUAAUUGCCUAAA